UACGGAGGGUCCGAGCGUUGUCCGGAAUUAUUGGGCGUAAAGGGCUCGUAGGCGGUCUGUUGCGUCGGGAGUGAAAACUUACAGCUUAACUGUGAGCGUGCUUCCGAUACGGGCAGACUUGAGGUAUUCAGGGGAGAACGGAAUUCCUGGUGUAGCGGUGAAAUGCGCAGAUAUCAGGAGGAACACCGGUGGCGAAGGCGGUUCUCUGGGAAUAUCCUGACGCUGAGGAGCGAAAGUGUGGGGAGCGAACAGG
rnacentral:rRNA from 1 species